rnacentral:rRNA from 1 species
CAGUAGCCGCGGUAAUACGAAGGGGGCUAGCGUUGCUCGGAAUGACUGGGCGUAAAGGGCGCGUAGGCGGCGGCCAAAGUCAGGCGUGAAAUUCCCGGGCUCAACCUGGGGGCUGCGUUUGAUACUUGGUUGCUUGAGUGGGGAAGAGGGUCGUGGAAUUCCCAGUGUAGAGGUGAAAUUCGUAGAUAUUGGGAAGAACACCAGUGGCGAAGGCGGCUCACUGGACCGACACUGACGCUGAGGCGCGAAAGCGUGGGGAGCAAACAGGAUUAGAGACCCCCGUAGUCCCUGUCUCUUAUAC